CACGUAGGGCGCAAGCGUUGUCCGGAAUUAUUGGGCGUAAAGAGCUCGUAGGCGGUCUGUUGCGUCUGCUGUGAAAACUCGGGGCUUAACCCCGAGCCUGCAGUGGAUACGGGCAGACUAGAGGUAGGUAGGGGAGAAUGGAAUUCCCGGUGUAGCGGUGAAAUGCGCAGAUAUCGGGAGGAACACCGGUGGCGAAGGCGGUUCUCUGGGCCGAUACUGACGCUGAGGAGCGAAAGCGUGGGGAGCGGACAGG
rnacentral:rRNA from 1 species